UACGUAGGGCGCAAGCGUUGUCCGGAAUUAUUGGGCGUAAAGAGCUCGUAGGCGGCUUGUCACGUCGGGUGUGAAAGCCCGGGGCUUAACCCCGGGUCUGCAUUCGAUACGGGCAGGCUAGAGUGUGGUAGGGGAGAUCGGAAUUCCUGGUGUAGCGGUGAAAUGCGCAGAUAUCAGGAGGAACACCGGUGGCGAAGGCGGAUCUCUGGGCAAUUCCUGACGCUGAGGCGCGAAAGCGUGGGGAGCAAACGGG
rnacentral:rRNA from 1 species